rnacentral:tRNA from 1 species
GUCUUUAUAGUUGAAUUACAACGAUAGUUUUUCAGAUUAAUAGUCUUAGUUAAAAUCUAGGUGAAGAUU